AUUCAGCUAGCUAAGUGGUAAAAGUGUUCCAUUCAAAUGUGAGAAGUCCAAGGUUCAAAUCUUGGUUUGGGUC